UACGGAAGGCAGCAGUGGGGAAUAUUGCACAAUGGGCGCAAGCCUGAUGCAGCCAUGCCGCGUGUAUGAAGAAGGCCUUCGGGUUGUAAAGUACUUUCAGUCGUGAGGAAGGUGUUAAGGUUAAUAACCUUAGCAAUUGACGUUAGCGACAGAAGAAGCACCGGCUAACUCCGUGCCAGCAGCCGCGGUAAUACGGAGGGUGCGAGCGUUAAUCGGAAUUACUGGGCGUAAAGGGCACGCAGGCGGUUAAUUAAGUUGGAUGUGAAAUCCCCGGGCUUAACCUGGGAAUGGCAUUCAAGACUGGUUAGCUAGAGUCUUGUAGAGGGGGUAGAAUUUUCAUGUGUAGCGGUGAAAUGCGUAGAGAUGUGGAGGAAUACCGGUGGCGAAGGCGGCCCCUGGACAAAGGACUGACGCUCAUGUGCGAAAGCGUGGGGAGCGAAACAGGGAUUAGAUACC
rnacentral:rRNA from 1 species